rnacentral:sRNA from 1 species
GGAUCACUCAGGUAGCUUGAAGAGGAUGGAUUUGGAGGAUGAGGCAGUGCCACUCCUUUUUCCUCCAUGCUCGCUGGUGAAGAUAAUGAGGAACAGUGAACUAGCUAAAGGUAACAAACCUGAAUUUGGCAACUGGCAUCAUAAACAGAAGCAGUGCUUCAACUCCCCCAACCCUCCGACCCAUCAUCAGUCCUAGUGGCCCGACAUGGUCAACACAGUCAGACCCCCAAGCUCCCGAGAAUCACUCCAGCCCUCCUGGAAGCAGUUUCAUUUAACUGAACUCAAACAACCUCGCUGAACAAUGCUUAUUGGGAAGUGGGAAGGAAAUUUCCUUUAUGUAGUUGAGAGAUGUGGCUAAAGAUAAAAUCCAAGUAGCUUCUGGCGAUGAUGUAAGCAGCUUCCAAAUUAAAAAAGAAACCACUGUAUUGAA